UACGUAGGGGGCAAGCGUUGUCCGGAUUUAUUGGGCGUAAAGAGCCCGUAGGUGGUUCGGUAAGUCGGAUGUGAAAUCCCUCGGCUCAACUGAGGAACUGCACGGGAUACUGGAUGACUUGAGUUCGGGAGAGGGAAGCGGAAUUCCGGGUGUAGCGGUGAAAUGCGUAGAUAUCAGGAGGAACACCAAUGGCGAAGGCAGCUCGCUGGAACGGUACUGACGCUGAGGCGCGAAAGCGUGGGGAGCGAACAGG
rnacentral:rRNA from 1 species